ACUUAGUGGUGUUUAGAGUAGACCCAUUGAAAUCAAUGGGACUUAAGUUGACUAGCUUAAGUCCCAUUGGUUUUAACAGGUCUGUUCUAAGCACCGCUACGU